GACGAACGCUGGCGGCGUGCUUAACACAUGCAAGUCGAACGGAAAGGCCCUGCUUUUGUGGGGUGCUCGAGUGGCGAACGGGUGAGUAACACGUGAGUAACCUGCCCUUGACUUUGGGAUAACUUCAGGAACUGGGGCUUAUAACGGUAAGGAACUCCUGCUGCGUGGGGGGGGUUGGAAAGUUUCGGCGGUUGGGGAUGGACUCGCGGCUUAUCAGCUUGUUGGUGGGGUAGUGGCUUACCAAGGCUUUGACGGGUAGCCGGCCUGAGAGGGUGAACGGCCACAUUGGGACUGAGAUACGGCCCAGACUCCUACGGGAGGCAGCAGUGGGGAAUAUGGCACAAUGGGCGGAAGCCUGAUGCAGCAACGCCGCGUGCGGGAUGACGGCCUUCGGGUUGUAAACCGCUUUCGCCUGUGACGAAGCGUGAGUGACGGUAAUGGGUAAAGAAGCACCGGCUAACUACGUG
rnacentral:rRNA from 1 species